AACCUCACAUCGAUCCUGGAGCCAUGCCCUGCUCUCCUAGUUCCUCCCGAAGUCCAAAAUUAUCGCAGAUCAAAACAACUCCACCUCGACGGCGUUAUUGUGAUUCCCGCUGGUCUCUGCAACCGCUGACCAUUAACGACCAAAAUUAAAUCAGUGAGGAGCAGGGAUGGGGAAGAAGUCACAUGAGCAUGAUAACCCAUCAUCUUAUCACGUGCUUUUCAAGCCCGCAUGGAAACCGGUGAUGUUGCCACCAUGUACGUCCAGCUUCGCCAUCCAACACC
rnacentral:lncRNA from 1 species